AUUGAACGCUGGCGGCAGGCCUAACACAUGCACGUCGCACGAGUGGCGGACGGGUGAGUAAUGUCUGGGAACCUGCCCGAUGGAGGGGGAUAACUACUGGAAACGGUAGCUAAUCCCGCAUACCAUCGGAUGUGCCCAGAUGGGAUUAGCUAGGAGGUGGGGUAACGGCUCACCUAGGCGACGGUCCCUAGCUGGUCUGAGAGGAUGACCAGCCACACUGGAACUGAGACACGGUCCAGACUCCUACGGGAGGCAGCAGUGGGGAAUAUUGCACAAUGGGAGAAAGCCUGAUGCAGCAAUGCCGCGUGUAUGAAGAAGGCCGUCGGGUUGUAAAGUACUUUCAGCGAGGAGGCGUUACUCGCAGAAGAAGCACCGGCUAACUCCGUGCCAGCAGCCGCGGUAAUUC
rnacentral:rRNA from 1 species